rnacentral:misc_RNA from 1 species
AAACCUUUGUUAUGUCAAAAAGAACUGACUUGGCAUAAACACUUAAGAAAGUGAUACUCACCCUCAUUUUGGGGCAAUCAAUUGACAGCCAACAAAAAGGCAAUCAUGAUUGAGAUUCACAAUAUGAAAUGAUAAGAAAUAAUAUCCAGGAUAAUCACAUACAGUUCAAUCAUCAGGACCAAUUCAAUUUUUAUUCAGCUUUGGCCAAUUAGAUAGUUGCCCCGCAGCAGGACAGGAUCAACAUCUUAACCAGAAAAGAAACCAAUACUUGCCUUUCAACUCAAUUGGCAGCCCAU